rnacentral:lncRNA from 1 species
AAUUUUGCUUGAUUAGGAAAGAUGUGGCUGGACUUUUACUAGGAUGGGCUGUUAUGAUGAUUUUCUUCAAAGAGAGGAACCAAGUGAUAUGAAUCAAGGUUAGCUUUGGACCAUUUAUAUUUGUUUUGUUUAUUUGUUUUAAGUAUUUAUAUUUUAAGUACUUUUCUAUGUUAUGUUAUGACAUUUGUUAUGUUAAACUUCCUAGCUUUUAUUCUUUGUUGCAAGUUAUGCUUUCUUG